GUUUCUCCCUUUGGGGACAUCCGAUAAAAUUGGAACGAUACAGAGAAUAUUAGCAUGAUCCCUGCGCAAGAAUGACACGCACAAAUCGAGAAAUGGUCCAAAUUUUU
rfam:Capsicum annuum cultivar Zunla-1 chromosome 4, whole genome shotgun sequence